ACCUGUCACUCGACCUGUCA
rnacentral:snRNA from 1 species